GGAGGGAUGACCGAGCGGACGAAGGUGGCAGUCUUGAAAACUGCUGUGGGGUUCACGCCCCACCGUGGGUUCGAAUCCCACUCCCUCCG
rnacentral:tRNA from 1 species